rnacentral:rRNA from 1 species
GAUGAACGCUGGCGGCGUGCUUAAUACAUGCAAGUCGAACGGUGAAGCGCCUUCCUUUUUGGUGGGUGUGGAUGAGUGGCCAACGGGUGAGCAACACGUGAGCCACCUGCUCACUCUUUCUGGAUAACCGGAUGAAAGUGUGGCUAAUACGGGAUAUUUUGGGUCUGUCGCUUGAAGGGUCUGGGACAGAUAUUGUUUCGGUGGGGGAUGGGCUCGCGGCCUAUCAGCUUGUUGGUGGGGUGAUGGCCUACCAAGGCGGUGACGAGUAGCCGGCCUGAGAGGGUCGACGGCACCACUAUGGCGGAGACGCCGCCAAUACUCCGACGGGAGGCAGCAGGGGAGAUUAUGGCACGGUGGGCGGAAGCAUGAUGCAGCGACGCCGCGUGGAGGAUGGUGUCCUUCGGGUUGUACACCGUUUUCGCCAGAGAAGCAGGCCUGCCGCGUUUAUGGAUGGGUUGACGGUAGCUGAAUAAAAAGCGACGGCUAACUACGUG